rnacentral:rRNA from 1 species
GGAUGCGAUCAUACCAGCACUAAAGCACCGGAUCCCAUCAGAACUCCGAAGUUAAGCGUGCUUGGGCGAGAGUAGUACUAGGAUG